rnacentral:rRNA from 1 species
UAGGGAAUCUUCCGCAAUGGACGCAAGUCUGACGGAGCAACGCCGCGUGAGUGAAGAAGGGUUUCGGCUCGUAAAACUCUGUUGUUAAGGAAGAAUGACAGGCAGAGUAACUGCUGCCUGUGUGACGGUACUUAACCAGAAAGCCACGGCUAACUACGUGCCAGCAGCCGCGGUAAUACGUAGGUGGCAAGCGUUAUCCGGAAUUAUUGGGCGUAAAGCGCGCGUAGGCGGUUUUUUAAGUCUGAUGUGAAAGCCCCCGGCUCAACCGGGGAGGGUCAUUGGAAACUGGGGAACUUGAGUGCAGAAGAGGAGAGUGGAAUUCCAUGUGUAGCGGUGAAAUGCGCAGAGAUAUGGAGGAACACCAGUGGCGAAGGCGGCUCUCUGGUCUGUAACUGACGCGGAUGUGCGAAAGCGUGGGGAUCAAACAGG